rnacentral:rRNA from 1 species
UACGUAGGGUGCAAGCGUUGUCCGGAAUUAUUGGGCGUAAAGAGCUCGUAGGCGGCUUGUCGCGUCGCUGUGAAAACCUGGGGCUCAACCCCGGGCCUGCAGCCGAUACGGGCAAGCUAGAAUUCGGUAGGGGAGACUGGAAUUCCUGGUGUAGCGGUGAAAUGCGCAGAUAUCAGGAAGAACACCCGUGGCGAAGGCGGCUCUCUGGGACGGUACUGACGCUGAGACGCGAAAGCGUGGGGAGCAAACAGG